AAUAAAUCUUAAAAAAAAAAGAAAAGAAAUAAUUAUUUUUUAAUUAGGGCUGAAGAGGUGGUCCAUCAGCCAUUAGGAAAACUUCCUCUUACAGAGGACUAAAGUUUGGUUCCCAGCAUGCAGUCAGACAGCUCCAGAGGGAUGCUACAAUUCUGGACUUUGCUAGCACUUACCACACACAGGAUAUUGACACCAUGGAAGACUGUUAGUGGCCACUGCUCCUAGGCCCCAAUGACCCACCUUCUGUCUCUGUGGAGUUGCUUCUUCUGGACACUGCAUACAAAGACAGCAUGCAGCCUUUCCAGGCUAGCUUCUUUCUAGUAUGUCUUUAAGAUUUAGCCAUGCUGAGUCAUGUAUACACCUGAUUAGCAAUCCCUUUUCAAAAGCCGUUUCUACCUUCUGGCUGUAAAUCCUUGCAUGGAUGGGUUUUCAAUUCCUAAGGUAUCUUGGAUAUGGGAUUUCUAGGCUGGAUGCUAAUUAUGAUUUUCAUUAUCUGAGGAACUGCCCAGUGGCUUCCCAAAGAGGAUGUAACAUCUCACAUUUCUCUCAGGAAUUCCAGUUCCUUGCCUAACCAUGCUCCUACCUGACCUUUUUUUUAUUACAACUGAGUGUAAAUUUACCUCUCUCUGUGUUGUUGUUGUUGUUGUUUGGGGGGGGGGGGUGUUUGCCGGGGAAAUCAAACUCAAGGGCUGGAGCAUGCCUGACAAGCACUCUGUUUAAGCUCCAUACACCUCCUGUCCUGAUGUCAAGCAUCUGUAUGAGGACAUCCUGACCACUCAUUUAGAGGAAUGCCUGUUCAAAUCCUUUGCCCAUUUUUAGAUUUCAUCCUUUCAUUGUUAAGUUGUAUAAGAGUUCUUUAUACCUGCAGGACAUUACAUCUUCAUCAGAAAUAUGAUUUGCAAAUAUUUAUGUGGACUGUCAUUUCAUUUGUAUAAUGCCCUUUGGGAUGAGGACGUGGCUCAGCUGUCUAGUACUUUAUCUAACGACCACCAUCUCACUCUUGGCCUUGCAGUUAGGGCUUGCUUUUGGAAGGUCUCUGAGCCACAGAGAGUUGCCUAUGGUGUGUGGUGAGGUACUCAGCUCCACUCUGUGCAUGCAUGGGGUGUUCAAUUGUUCAGGCACUAUUUGUUGAAAAGACUAUUCUCCAGCCAGGCGGCGGCGGCGGUGGUGGUGCACAUCUUUAAUCCCAGAGACACAUACCUCACAAAACAAAACAACAAAACCCAAAACAAACAAACAAAAAAAAAAGAGUAUUCUCUUCCCUAAUUAAAUUAUCUGGCAUCUAAAAAUCAAUUGGCAAUAGAUUUAUGAACUUGGGCAGCUUGGCUUUUUCUUCUCCUCCUCCUUUCCUCCCCUGAGUUUUUCAAGAGAGGGUUUCUCUGUGUAGCCCUGGCUGUUAUAGAACUUGCUCUCUAGACCAGGCUGGCUUUGAACUCAGAGGUUUGCCUGCUUCUGCUACCUGAAUGCUGGCUCAGUAGGUACAGACAUUUGCCACCAAGCCUAAUGAUCCAUGUGAUAAAAGAAGAGAAUUGACUCAAAGUUGUUCUCUGAGCUGUGGCAUAUGCACACAUACAAAAUAAAUUUAGUCCUUAAAAAUGGCAGAAUUUUACCAAAGGCCAAUGACUCAGACUCCCUGGAAGUAGAUCCCAGACAAUGACACUUGACACAGGAAGGCAGGGUGGAGACAAGGGAUAGGUAGCCUGGAGUUGGAAGGUGCUUCAUUUGUCCCUGUCUAGCCACACAGAAUCCUGGAGCCACCUCACUCGGGGAACUUAGCCAGGCAACCAAAAGCUAUUUAGAUUACAAGCCACAGAACUGCCCCCAAGGAGAUGUGUCCAGCCUCCCAAAGCAAGGUCCACCUGUCUAGGAAGAAACUGGCCUGGUUUAAAGUUGGGGGAGGGGGGGGAAUGGAGGAGGCAGGUUCAGCCCUCCCCACUGAGACGUUCUGCAAGAAGGAAAUGAAUGAAACCUACCUUGGUAGCUACUCUUAAAAGUCCAAACAUCCAUUCCCAAAAGUCUUAACAUUAGGGCUCCACCCACUCCCCUGGCAUUCUGCCAGGAAGGUCCUCGGGCUGCCCUUCUCACCUGGAGGACAGGGAGCUAGCGCCAAGGACAAAAAGCCCAUUCAUCUUCAAUGCUUACAGCUGAGCUCAGGUUUCCUGGUGAGGGUGGGGGUGGGGGACUGAAUAUCUGGUUAAACCUUGAUCCUUCAAAAAGAUAGACAAGGCAGCUGAUCCUGACCUGGACACAGUGGCUUGCAACACUAACCGGUACCAGCGACCCAGUGUUAGAAUUAAGAUUUUAGUAUGGACCAAUUUCCCUAGUGCCUUGCCUUGCUCAUCCAGACAAGAGGGGGCUGAAAUCAGACGGUGUUGAUGGGCCGUGGUCUAAGCAGGCACCAUACCUCUGUUCCAGGCCACUCAGGGAACUUCCCAUAUCGCGCAAGUGCUACAAACCAGGACAUCAGGGCAUGGGGACCAGAGCAAGCCAUCCCAUUCCUCCUCCUCCAGAUGGCAGGAGGUAGCAUGUUUUUGCUGGUACUCACAGCACCCAGAUACUGGGCUCUCCAACUACAAGAGGACUGUUAACUGGACUGGUUUCACCUUUGCAACUGAAACUCAGUGACCUUUUCCUUUUUUGGAAUAUUUUGAUUCCAGUUCACAGCAUUCUCUUACAGAAGCAGACUGACCUGGAGGGUGGGCCCAUAAAGCCCAGGGUAUAGAAAAAUGAGUUUAGCAAUCUGUGGUCUCACCCUGAGGGGAUACAGAAGCCAAGUACAGGUGUCUUGCAAACACUGCUUUCACUGGUGUCCUGUCCUCUGAGCCUGGGGUUAGAGGGUCUGUCUCAAGAGGGCUUAGAGCCUUAGGGGAAUGCAGGAGUCCAUACCUGCAUCAUCAAUCUUUUGCCUGAGUCCAAGGUCAACUGGUGUUGCCCCAGAAUGACUCCCCUCAGGCUGGCACACAGCAGGGGCUCAGAGAGCACUAAGUGAGAGUGAAAGAAUCCAAUCAACCUAGGAGAGACUUUUGACCAGAAACCCUGGCCAAGAGGCAACUGGAGGAACUCGGAAUUAUCCAAUCUUGCCCCAGCCUCCUAUGAAGAGGUGUUGGCUGAUCCCUGGUCUAGAGAUGCUAUGAGGUACACACUAGGCUUGGGAGUCACCCCACCAAUGCACACAUAUCUGGUCUAUCUCAGACUCCAAGGAUGUAAAACCUACACCAACAAUAGAAUGGUGUCUGGGGAGAAUUUUAAAAAAGAAAAGCCAAAAUCAGAUUCUAUAGUCAGUAAUUACAGGACUAGGAGGAACCAGCAGGGAGCGACUGAAACCUCUGACUCACAGCUGGCUCCAUUAAAAAACGGUGAAACUGUUUGCUCUGGCUGAGCGACAGGGCAGACUCUCCCCCUAGCUUGUACUGCCCACACACUUUCUAAGCCUGGCCCUAGCUAGCAAUGAGCACUCUGGGGCAGAGCACACAGCUACCCUCAGAACAGUGGACAGGGCACUGGGCAUGGUCGGGUGUGGGUUCCAUUUCAACAGGAGAAGACAAUGGAAAGGGGAGCUUUGUAUCCUUGCAACCCACCCUCAAAGCUACUAGGGUUGGAUCUGAGGGAGCCAACAAGAGGUGGUUUUUGUGACUAGGUGGGGUAUUACAUUCGCCAUAACAUAAUUAUAGAAAUGACUCAUGAUUCUCGAGCCUUCCCUGUGUGUGGGGCUGUCUUUGGUUUUACAGGAAAGGUUCCAGUACUGAAGGAGCUGCCUACUGGUGGGCCUGGAGGCCCCUGGAGCCAAGAUGGGUGUCACAACUUGCUUCAAUCCCCAUUAGACUUUUUACAUUGCUUCUCAUCAGAUCCCCAAGACACUAACCCAAUGGCAGCCUCUGACCCUCAGGCAGAUUCCCAGCCCAGACGGCGUGUGUUGCCCGCCUGUGCCUGGGCUUACGUAGGUGAGUCAUGGAGAAGGGAGGGCAAGUCAGGUGACCAGGUGAGACUCAGAACUCCUGAGGUAGCCUGGUUACCUUGACAUUCCUGUGAUUAUGCCAAGGUAAAAAGUAACCCAAGGAGUUUGCCUUAUAUGGGCACAAUGACAGAUUUCAACACAACUGUUAACUGACCCCACAUCCAAUCUAGUCUAGGUUGCUCAGGUGACACCCGAUAAAGCUGCUCUGAAAGUAGGAAAUAAAUAACAACUUAUGACAGAUCAUGACCAGUGACUCACAAAACAAAGGUGCAGUCCAACUAUAUCUAUGUGACUUUUAGACAGGGGCAGGGGUGACCGGCCUGUAGACCAAGAGGCUCUAUCACUCCCCCACCCACACCUGGUGGGGAGACCUGGCUAAGGCAGGGAGGGUUGUGGAGGAAAUCCACUUCAGACUGUAACUGAACAGCAAGUCCCGGCUAGGUUCUAAGAGACCUGGUGCUUUCCCCGAGAAGGGCCAGGACAAGCAGGGGCCACUGGGAGGCAUGGCUCUUUAGGCUGACAGGACAACACGAGCAGAGUAAGUACAGGCUCCUUCAUGAGAAACCCUAGCAUCAAAGAGAUUGAGAUAGGAGGACUACAUAUGCCAGCCUGGGCUACAUAAAGACCUUGGGGUUUUAGUUUAAAAAAAAAAAAAAA